rnacentral:piRNA from 1 species
UGGUUCCAGGACAUGAAGUUUGCC